UACGAAGGGGGCUAGCGUUGUUCGGAAUCACUGGGCGUAAAGCGCACGUAGGCGGAUUGUUAAGUCGGGGGUGAAAUCCUGGAGCUCAACUCCAGAACUGCCUUCGAUACUGGCGAUCUAGAGUCCGGAAGAGGUGAGUGGAACUCCUAGUGUAGAGGUGGAAUUCGUAGAUAUUAGGAAGAACACCAGUGGCGAAGGCGGCUCACUGGUCCGGUACUGACGCUGAGGUGCGAAAGCGUGGGGAGCAAACAGG
rnacentral:rRNA from 1 species